UCCGGUUUAUCACCGGCAGUCCCCUUAGAGUUCCCAGCUUUACCUGAUGGCAACUAAGGGCGAGGGUUGCGCUCGUUACGGGACUUAACCCAACAUCUCACGACACGAGCUGACGACAGCCAUGCAGCACCUGUCUCCAGGUUCCCGAAGGCACUCUCUCAUUUCUGAAAGAUUCCUAGGAUGUCAAGAGUAGGUAAGGUUCUUCGCGUUGCAUCGAAUUAAACCACAUGCUCCACCGCUUGUGCGGGCCCCCGUCAAUUCUUUUGAGUUUCAACCUUGCGGCCGUACUCCCCAGGCGGCGAACUUAACGCGUUAGCUUCGACACUAAGGGGUUGCCCCCCUAACGUCCAGUUCGCAUCGUUUAGGGCGUGGACUAC
rnacentral:misc_RNA from 1 species